CCUACGGGAUGCAGCAGUAGGGAAUAUUGCUCAAUGGGGGAAACCCUGAAGCAGCCACGCCGCGUGGAGGAUGAAGGUGUUCGGAUUGGAAACUCCUUUUUUUAGAGAAGAUAAUGACGGUAUCUAACGAAUAAGCACCGGCUAACUCAGUGCCAGCCGCCGCGGUAAGAUGGAGGGUGCAACCGUUAUUCGGAAUCACUGGGCGUAAAGAGCGCGUAGGCGGGAUAGCAAGUCAGAUGUGAAAUCCUAGGGCUUAACCAUAGAACUGCAUUUGAAACUGUCAUUCUAGAGUAUAGGAGAGGUAGGUGGAAUUCUUGGUGUAGGGGUAAAAUCCGUAGAGAUCAAGAGGAAUACUCAUUGCGAAGGCGACCUACUAGAACAUAACUGACGCUGAUGCGCGAAAGCGUGGGGAGCAAACAGGAUUAGAUACCCCGGUAGUC
rnacentral:rRNA from 1 species